GCAUUUUUUGAAAGUAAAAACAAUAUCAUCAUCCUUUUUCCUUUCCUCUUUUGAGUCUUUUCUGAUCCUAUCAACAUCAAUGGCGUACAAUUGCACGAAGAGGAUUCUCCGCACUACUAUCAAUGUGUUUGCUAUUGCUUUGCUCUUGAUUUUUGUUUUUCCAGCUGCUGCAGCUCGUUUGCGUCCUCAAGAUUACAUCACUGUACCACCAGCCAGUUGUAAUACUGUAGGAUACAUCCCCAUACCUAAGUGUCCACCAUCAAAGUGAAUGAACUUGUCAAUCAAUCUUCACAUAUGCAUAUUGGUUCCUUUCUUUAGUUUCUUUUUUCAUUCGUGGUUUCUGAUUAGUUGAACUUGAUUUGAGUAGAAUCACCUAUAGGGUGUGGGUGGGGCUGUAAAUAUAGAUACUAUUGGUUCAAGUUUUAAUGUUUUCCUUUUGUAAAAAUACAUGGAAUAAAGAUUAUUUUCUUUCUUCUCUCGACGUCGUUCGUCAUGAAUACUCACCAUUAUUAUAAAUAAAACAGGAGAAUGAAAACAUGCUCGUUAACUUCCUACUUCAGGAAAGGAGAACAAAGCAUCGGAAAAGCACCAACCUUUUUCUUCCAUAUAUAUCUUGAAGAGAAAAUUAUCAGA
rnacentral:lncRNA from 1 species